rnacentral:rRNA from 1 species
GACGAACGCUGGCGGCGUGCCUAAUACAUGCAAGUAGAACGCUGAAGAGAGGAGCUUGCUCUUCUUGGAUGAGUUGCGAACGGGUGAGUAACGCGUAGGUAACCUGCCUUGUAGCGGGGGAUAACUAUUGGAAACGAUAGCUAAUACCGCAUAACAAUGGAUGACACAUGUCAUUUAUUUGAAAGGGGCAAUUGCUCCACUACAAGAUGGACCUGCGUUGUAUUAGCUAGUAGAUGAGGUAAUGGCUCACCUAGGCGACGAUACAUAGCCGACCUGAGAGGGUGAUCGGCCACACUGGGACUGAGACACGGCCCAGACUCCUACGGGAGGCAGCAGUAGGGAAUCUUCGGCAAUGGGGGCAACCCUGACCGAGCAACGCCGCGUGAGUGAAGAAGGUUUUCGGAUCGUAAAGCUCUGUUGUAAGUCAAGAACGGGUGUGAGAGUGGAAAGUUCACACUGUGACGGUAGCUUACCAGAAAGGGACGGCUAACUACGUG